AAGGGCACCACAAGAACGCGUGGAGCAUGUGGCUUAAUUUGACCCAACGCGGGAAAUCUUACCGGGUCCGGACACACUGAGGAUUGACAGGCAAUAUUAAAAAUAAUUUUAUUAUUUUUAUGUUAAAUAUGCUAGUCCUUUCAUGAUUAUGUGAUAGGUGGUGCAUGGCCGUUCUUAGUUCGUGGAGUGAUCUGUCUGCUUAAUUGCGUUUCACUAAGGGCUUAUAAAUUACGUGUGUUGUAGGUACUUUGACCCCUACGUUGAAAUAUUACGUAGUGCGUGUCUUAGUUUGCUUUUACUCACACAAUUAAGUCCUGAAAGCAACGAACGUGACCG
rnacentral:rRNA from 1 species